GCUGGUGCCAAGGUGAAAAGUCCGCGGAUCAGAAACUGCAGCGGCUGAGGCCAGGCCCCCUGGGAAGUGUUGUUCCCAGAAGACUCUUCCCCAGUUAAGGACAACUGGUCUAGAGCCAGGCUCCCAGUCUCUGUAAGCCUCCAUUUCUUCCUGGAGACCCUCGUUCUGUGAGCAAGACUUCACCCGACAACCCAGAGAGAGAGUGGCUACUGCUCAUGUUGCAGAGCUUUUAGGAGUGCCCAGGAUGGAGGAGGAAGCAGAUAUUGUUCAUUCUGUCCAGGAUGCUCUCAGAUCUUUGGAUUUCAUGGGGCCCUUGCAUUAGGAGGAGCUCCUACCCACACCGUCAAGGUCAAUGCCCCAGCCCCCAAGAGAACCCAACCCAGACACAGUGUGAGCUCGUUCAAGCCUCACAACCACCCUGGAAAGGAGAUGCUAUCAUUGCUUCUGUUUCCUGAAGAAAAGCCAACUGAAGCACAGAGAAGUUAAGCCAUUUGCUCAAGGACACACAGGAAGUGGCAAAGCUGGGACUAAGUCCAGACAGUCUGGUUCCCAAGUCAGUGGGUUAAUGCCCUGCCCUGUUGCAUCAUUGCUGAGUGGUUCUGAUUUGGGUUUGAAGGCUGACCCAGGGCACAGGGGGAGGCCAGCCUUCUCCCACCGUGGUCUCUUGGCAACAGUCUAGCACGGGGGCAGCAGCGCUCCUUAACUUGUCAGCAGCCGUCCUCACCUGCCGAAUCAGGAACUCAGGCGGGGCCCAGGCUCUGCCCUACAGAUUCAGGCGCACACUCAAGUUUGAGGACCACUGGUGUAGACAGGUGGUGUAGACAUGACCUGACCUAAAGUUUAAAAGUUUCUGUCUGGGGAGUUCCCAUCAUGGCACAGUGGAAACAAAUCCAACUAGUAUCC